UACGGAGGGUGCGAGCGUUGUCCGGAAUCAUUGGGCGUAAAGGGCGCGUAGGUGGCCUGUGCAAGCGUGCGGUGAAAGCUCGGGGCUCAACCCCGAGUCGGCCGUGCGAACUGCUGGGCUCGAGCACUGUAGAGGCAGGCGGAAUUCCGGGUGUAGCGGUGGAAUGCGUAGAGAUCCGGAAGAACACCGGUGGCGAAGGCGGCCUGCUGGGCAGUGGCUGACACUGAGGCGCGACAGCGUGGGGGAGCAAACAGGAUUGAGAA
rnacentral:rRNA from 1 species